AAUCAACUUGUAAUCCUUGGUAAUCCAAGUAAUCCAGCUUGUAAUAUCCUUGGUAAUCCAAGUAAUCCAGCUUGUAAUCCCUGGUAAUCUAAAGAAUCUACCUAUAAUCUUGGUAAUCCACUCAUAAUCUUGGAAUUCUCCUGAGAUUUUCUUCCCGUUGCGAACCCCUCGCUUUUAGAAAAAGGGAAUGAUCUUGCUGUAUUAAAUUAACCCCUCUUGAAUGGACAGUGGGUGUGGUCCUGAUGAUCAAUGGGUUAAAAUAAUAAUUGAUUUAGAUCUAAUCGUUGUUACAAUGGCAAUUAUUAUGCAUUAGACUAGAUAUUAUUAUUAUUAAAAAAAAAUUACAUAUCAAUAUAAUUCUAAUACUCAAUGAA